AGUUUGGCAUUGCUUCCUAGGGUGCUUCUGGGGCUGCUUCUGCUUUUGGGCCAAGAGCAUGGUGUUUGGUAAAAUAUCUGAAAGCAGCUUUUGGUUGAAAUGGCUUCUCCGUAAGGCCGAAAUUGAGAAGCUACAAUUUGUAGCUUUUAGGAAUUGCUUUGGGAAAACACGGAGGAAGAACAGUGCAUAACUUAAUGAAAUUUUAACUUCCUGCCAAUUCUGUCCUCCUCCUUUUCUGAAAAUUACAUCGAAACAAAAGAUUCGCGAGGCAGUCACUCUCUUUGCCGUCAUUAUCAUUAUCAUUCCACAUCUCCUCCUUCCUCUUCUUCAAUUCGUGGAUUCUCGCCGGCUAGCUUCCUUCCUCUGAAGAUAGAAUCAAACGGAAUCCAUUGUCACGCCAUCGCCAUCGCCAUCGCCUCUCUUCAGUCUGGGUUCAAAUUUCAAAACCGACGAAGUCGCCAUCGCCAUUGUCCUCUCUGGCUCUCUCCCUCUCCAGGCUCCAGCACGGUCACACAUCAACUGAGCAAUUUGCUCUCUUCGACUCUUUGGUCUCUUCCUGAAGCCGUCAAGCAACAAAGCAGAUUCUGGGUUCGACUCUUCUCUCUCAGUCAGUCGCUGAUUCUUCAAGGCUCAAGCUCGGAUAAUAGAGCACCCAAGAAGGCAAAAACCACACAUGAAGUUCAACCAAUGCAAGCCUCUGCAUCCCAACCAUUUUAUGCAUCACCACCCAAGCCAACACAACCAUCUUUUGUGCAGCUAUGAACUGUAAACUAGUUCAUUCAUCUCACAACUGCGAUAAAGAUGAAGACCAAGUCCCCUGCAAAGAGGAAGAGAGCUCCAGCAGAGAAGUAACUGAGUCCCCUGCUAAGAUUUUGGGUGUAAUUUCAGAUAUUUCAAAGCAUUGGGCUUUUGUUCACUUUAUAACAAAUCAUUUGUAUCGGAACUUGGUAACUGAUCCAAGUGUUUGAAACUCUGUAAAUGAUGCAAUUGUUUGGUAGUUUGUAACUAAUCAGUUGUUUUUGGAACUUGAUAAGUGAUCCAAGUUUGGUAGUUUGUAACUCAUCAGUUGUUUUUUGAACUUGUUAA